rnacentral:rRNA from 1 species
CAGCAGCCGCGGGAAUACAGAGGGUGCAAGCGUUAAUCGGAAUUACUGGGCGUAAAGCGCGCGUAGGUGGUUUGUUAAGUUGGAUGUGAAAGCCCCGGGCUCAACCUGGGAACUGCAUCCAAAACUGGCAAGCUAGAGUACGGUAGAGGGUGGUGGAAUUUCCUGUGUAGCGGUGAAAUGCGUAGAUAUAGGAAGGAACACCAGUGGCGAAGGCGACCACCUAGACUGAUACUGACACUGAGGUGCGAAAGCGUGGGGAGCAAACAGGAUUAGAUACCCCUGUAGUCCCUGUCUCUUAUAC